rnacentral:rRNA from 1 species
CGGCGGACGGGUGAGUAACACGUGAUAACCUACCUAUAAGACUGGGAUAACUUCGGGAAACCGGAGCUAAUACCGGAUAAUAUAUUGAACCGCAUGGUUCAAUAGUGAAAGACGGUUUUGCUGUCACUUAUAGAUGGAUCCGCGCCGCAUUAGCUAGUUGGUAAGGUAACGGCUUACCAAGGCAACGAUGCGUAGCCGACCUGAGAGGGUGAUCGGCCACACUGGAACUGAGACACGGUCCAG